rnacentral:rRNA from 1 species
UACGGGGGGGGGCAAGCGUUGUUCGGAAUUAUUGGGCGUAAAGGGCGCGUAGGCGGCUUUGCAAGUGACGGGUGAAAUCCCUCGGCUUAACCGAGGAACUGCCUGUCAGACUGUAAGGCUUGAGACCGGGAGAGGUGAGUGGAAUUCCCAGUGUAGCGGUGAAAUGCGUAGAUAUUGGGAGGAACACCAGUGGCGAAGGCGGCUCACUGGACCGGUACUGACGCUGAGGUGCGAAAGCCAGGGGAGCAAACGGG